rnacentral:rRNA from 1 species
AUUGAACGCUGGCGGCAUGCCUUACACAUGCAAGUCGAACGGCAGCGCGGGAGCAAUCCUGGCGGCGAGUGGCGAACGGGUGAGUAAUGCAUCGGAACGUGCCCAGUCGUGGGGGAUGACGCAGCGAAAGCUGCGCUAAUACCGCAUACGAUCUAUGGAUGAAAGCGGGGGACCGUAAGGCCUCGCGCGAUUGGAGCGGCCGAUGUCAGAUUAGGUAGUUGGUGGGGUAAAGGCUCACCAAGCCAACGAUCUGUAGCUGGUCUGAGAGGACGACCAGCCACACUGGGACUGAGACACGGCCCAGACUCCCACGGGAGGCAGCAGUGGGGAAUUUUGGACAAUGGGCGCAAGCCUGAUCCAGCAAUGCCGCGUGCAGGAAGAAGGCCUUCGGGUUGUAAACUGCUUUUGUACGGAACGAAAAGGCUCUGGUUAAUACCUGGGGCUCAUGACGGUACCGUAAGAAUAAGCACCGGCUAACUACGUGCCAGCCGCCGCGGUAACAC